AUCAUGUUUAAUAAAUGUCAAUAUCUUAUAAUUUUUUUAAUUUGCACCUCUAGUAAAUCCCAAAUACUAAAUUUUACUUAAAUGCGUCAACCAGAAAUAAAAUUAGUUGAUAUAUUACUGUUCGGUACGAUUCGUUAAGAUUUUUUGCCGGCUAGUUCCUCUUGGCGUAUCGAGAGUGAAACAAUCGAAGAAAUGUUUUCGAGAAACCAGUUCACAUUAUGUGAGAACCAACACCUCGACAUUGAUAAUGUGUCAUCACAAAAGAAAUCUUUACGCCAGAUUGCUACCAGCCAGUCUAUGUCCGGUGGUCAGGGAUAUAGAAGAUGCCAUUGUAAAGCAAAAUGCAUAAAACUGAAACGUUGGUGUAAAUCCUCAGGAGUACUAUGUAACUCAAAAUGUCAUUCGAGCUUAUCUUGCUCAAAUAAAAAAUUUCCAAGGAAAUCAACCGCCUCCGCCGUCCGGUCUCGCUCAACUAAUUUUCCAAUUCCCCGAAUAUUUUUUCCGACCGGUUUGGCCUGUAUAGAACCGAGAAAUUAGCCACGGCCGGCCGUUGUUUUUACUUCACAGUGUUUAGGCACCGCUCUUGUAGGUAUAUUCAAUUUAUAUUAUUAGAAAAGUUUCUUUUCAGUAAGUGCGUCUAAGUUACGCUCCGGCGAGUUUCACUUUGUCAUCCUUUUUGUAGACCCGCGGGCGGUGGUUUGCUUCAUCACCGACUUCGAGCCGUUUUUCAUCGAUCUACUUUUAAUUGUUUUCCACUGGACGGAUUUAAUUCGUGGUCUUCUAACAGUCGUGAGAAUUCGUUUCGAGUAGCUUUGAAAAUUCAGAGAAAAAAAAAUUAAAUCAAGACUAUAGUUCUCAGUGCAGAAGACCGUAAGCAAAUUGGUCUGUUUUAUUUUGAGAUAUGAUAAAAUUAGUGUUUAAGUACUUACAGCCCAGUGGGUACUUUGCUUCGCCUAAAGCUUACCUGCAAAAUAAAAAAAAAUUAAUUAAUAUAUGAUUUAUUGUCAUAAAA